AUGCAUAAUACCCAGAAAAUUUUACUCAUUGAAAUGAUUUUAUUUUGUUACCUGUUAAGAGUUAUGUACCUUUUGUUAUCGUACAGAGGAGGCAGUUGGAGAUGGCAAGCAUCAUAUGCUCCAGUGUAUCAUCUGGACUGGAGAGGUGUCAGUGAAGGAAGACACACAUUUUACAUCCUCAUGUUGUACAAAAGAAGGGUAUUUUUUCAGGCCAGAAAAAUACAUACACAUGGAAGCCUGUGGCUCAGAAUGGAAAAUUUGGAAAAGAUCCUUUCUACAACCAGACCUCCUAUAAAAGGCUAAGAAUUUCAAGGAUGAGAGGAGGAACAGAGCAUUUCUAGGCUCUAAGCCCAUUUUCUUUCUUGGAAAUCAAUCCAGGUAAUUUAUAUUUUGUUUCUUCUCUGGGGAAGGAGGAGGAUAAGAUGUUUCUGCUUUCUAGCUGUUGGCAACUACCAAUUACUCUCUCCUUGUCUCCCUUGAGAUUUAUGCAUGUUUUCUCUGCUUCUUUUGUGGUUUUGUCAUUAAGGUUUGGAACUCCAAACAAUGGUGUACUAAUUUUCAAUUGCUGCAUAACAAAUUACUCCCAUCUUAACAGCUUAAAGCAAUACACAUUUGUUAUCCCACAGUUUCUGUGGGUCAGAAAUCUGUAAACAGCUUAACUGGGUCCUCAGCUCAAGGUCUCACAAGGCUGAAAUUGAGGUCUCCACUGGAAUUUUAAUCUCAUCUGAGAUCAAGGUCCUGUUCCAAAAAUGUCAAAAUUCACUUCCUUUCAACUAUAGGACUGAGGCUCUCAAUUCCUAGAAGUCCCCUGCUGUUCCUUGCCAUGUGACUCUGUCCACAGUAUGGCGGUUUGCUGCCUCAAGUCUGCUUUCUUGUGUCUGGCCUCUACAUCCUCUUUUAAAGAGCUUACCUAAUUAGGUCAAGGCCACUCAGGAUAAUCUACCUUUUGAUUAAAUCAAAUUCAAAAGAUUUGUUGCUAGCAUCAUUGAGUUCUGACUGCAGCAACUCUGUAUACAUCAAAGAGGAACCCUGCUGGGUCUUGCGGCACCAUCCUCUCACCUUCCGGCACUAUUAUCAGACAGUCCUUCACUGCUAUUCACAGAGUUUUCAUGGCCAUUUAUUUUGGAAGUGGUUGGCCAGGUCCUUCUUCCUAGUCUGUCUAGUCUGGAAGCUCCGCUGGAAAUAGUCCAUCAUGGGUGACCCUGCUGGUAUUUGAAACACCAGUGGUAGAGCUUUCAACAUCACGGCAACAUGCAGCUGCCACAAUAUGAUGACUAACAGAAGGGUGGUGUGGUUCCCUGAC
rnacentral:lncRNA from 1 species